rnacentral:misc_RNA from 1 species
CCAGAUCUAACACUACCUUAUCUCAGCCUUCUCGUACAAAUGAUGAAGUGAAAGGCCUACCAACUGUACAAAAUCACACUCAAAAUACAGAUGAUUCUGUUCAAACUUCGGUUUUGCAAGCAAAUCAGUCCAGUAAUGUUUCAAUUGUCAGUGAGGUACCAUCCGCUGCAGAAAAUAACGCUCAAAAUAUACAGAAUUCUAAUAAAGAUCAAGCAUUGAAGCGAAAUCAAACCACAGUUUCACCGACAAUAAGGCCUGCACCAGCAAAUCACAGUGAAA